CUCUCGGUGCAUUAACAGAACAUCACUCUCUACUAAAUAUUGUAUCCUAAACAUAUCUCUUCCUUUUUACCGUUCCCUCCCCA